GUCCCGUUAGCUCAACGGAUAGAGUGCCGGAUUCCGAAUCCGUAGAUAGGGGUUCGAUUCCCCUACGGGAUACCA
rnacentral:tRNA from 1 species